rnacentral:rRNA from 1 species
GGCCUACGGGGCGCAGCAGUGAGGAAUAUUGGUCAAUGGUCGGGAGACUGAACCAGCCAAGCCGCGUGAGGGAGGAAGGUACAGAGUAUCGUAAACCUCUUUUGUCAGGGAACAAAGGCGGGGACGUGUCCCCGGAUGAGUGUACCUGAAGAAAAAGCAUCAGCUAACUCCGUGCCAGCAGCCGCAGUAAUACGGAGGAUUCGAGCGUUAUCCGGAUUUAUUGGGUUUAAAGGGUGCGCAGGCGGUCUGUGAAGUCAGCGGUCAAAGCCCGGGGCUCAACCCCGGCCCGCAGUUGUAAAUGGCAG